AUACAAAUCAUCCUGGGAUCUUGUUAAAGUACAGUUUCUAUUCCAGCAGUUGUAGAGCAGGACCUGAGAUUCUGCAUUUCCAACCAGCUCCCAAAUUAUCCUGAU
rnacentral:pre_miRNA from 1 species